GAUGGCUCAGGAUGAACGCUAGCGACAGGCUUAACACAUGCAAGUCGAGGGGCAGCAUAGAAGUAGCAAUACUUCGGUGGCGACCGGCGCACGGGUGAGUAACGCGUAUGCAACCUACCUAUCAGAGGGGAAUAACCCGGCGAAAGUCGGACUAAUACCGCAUAAAACAGGGGCACCGCAUGGUGAUAUUUGUUAAAGAAAUUCGCUGAUAGAUGGGCAUGCGUUCCAUUAGGUAGUUGGUGAGGUAACGGCUCACCAAGCCGACGAUGGAUAGGGGAACUGAGAGGUUGGUCCCCCACACUGGUACUGAGACACGGACCAGACUCCUACGGGAGGCAGCAGUGAGGAAUAUUGGUCAAUGGGCGGGAGCCUGAACCAGCCAAGUCGCGUGGAAAAGGAAGAAGGAUCUAUGGUUCGUAAACUUCUUUUGCAGGGGAAUAAAGUGCAGGACGUGUCCUGUUUUGUAUGUACCCUGAGAAUAAGGAUCGGCUAACUCCGUGCCAGCAGCCGC
rnacentral:rRNA from 1 species